rnacentral:misc_RNA from 1 species
GAAAUGCGAUAAGUAAUGUGAAUUGCAGAAUUCAGUGAAUCAUCGAAUCUUUGAACGCACCUUGCGCUCCUUGGUAUUCCUUGGAGCAUGCCUGUUUGAGUAUCAUGAAAUCUUCAAAGUAAAUCUUUUGUUAACUCAAUUGGUUUCUACUUUGGUAUUGGCGGUCUUUGCAGCUUCACACCUGCUCCUCUUUGUUCAUUAGCUGGAUCUCAGUGUUAUGCUUGGUUCCACUCGGCGUGAUAAGUUAUCUAUCGCUGAGGACACUGUAAAAGGUGGCCAAGGUAAAUGCAGAUGAACCGCUUCUAAUAGUCCAUUGACUUGGACAAUACUUUUAUGAUCUGAUCUCAAAUCAGGUAGGACUACCCGCUGAACUUAAGC